UACACAACUAGCAAACAACGGCGGAGUCCAAAUGUAGAACACCAUUGCCAAGCUAAAACACAAAAGUGGCCCAAACAGCUCCAACAUCACAGAAGAGGUGUUAUCGUUGCCGAGCUAGCUGCCCAAACAAUCCAGCAGCGCCGACUUCACAACCACAGCGACACUGAAUCCGCGAAAGUCGCCAGAGCGAAAAGCAGCUCCGACAUCCAACAAUGGACAUCAGCCAAGCCACCAAAGAGACACUUCCUUCACACGGUCAGCACCAACUCCUUGGAAGAGACUGCAACUUGUCAUCGUUGCCAGGCAUCGCCGCACCCCAUCAGCGAGCAGCUCCGACUUCAUCAGCAGAAGCAACCGAAGAGCCUCGCAUCCACAUCCACACAUCGCGAGCAGGAGGCUCGCCACCAGCGAGCAACCCUGCCGGAGCCCGCCUCGACUCCGCACAGCCGCCGAGUUCGCCGGAGCCCUCCCGAGCCGUGCAACGCCGCUACAAGCAACCGCCGCCCACGCCACGCCCGCUCCCGGUCUCCUCCUUUCCUGCCGCCCAACUCCUUCCCCGCCUUCAUAUGCUGCCGCUGGCGUCGACGCGUUGUCUGCUGCACGGCGCCACCAUCGCCAGCCAUCACCACCACGGCCGUCAGCCGCCGUGGUCUGCCGGUCAUCUCCACGCCACCGUCACCAGCCGCCGCCGCCAGCCGCCACCAUCACCGGUCGCCGCCAGCAGCCGCCGCCCAUCCAGAUCCGGCCGGGGUGGCGCGGGUCCGGGGGACGGAGCGUGCCACUCAGCACCAGGCUGGAGCGAGACAACCAUGA
rnacentral:lncRNA from 1 species